rnacentral:rRNA from 1 species
GGCGUGCCUAUACNUGCAAGUCGAGCGGACAGAAGGGAGCUUGCUCCGGAAUGUAGCGGCGGACGGGUGAGUAACACGUGGGUAACUGCCUGUAAGACUGGGAUAACUCCGGGAAACCGGAGCUAAUACCGGAUAGUUCCUUGAACCGCAUGGUUCAAGGAUGAAAGACGGUUUCGGCUGUCACUUACAGAUGGACCGCGGCGCAUAGCUAGUUGGUGAGGUAACGGCUCACCAAGGCGACGAUGCGUAGCCGACCUGAGAGGGUGAUCGGCCACACUGGGACUGAGACACGGCCCAGACUCCUACGGGAGGCAGCAGUAGGGAAUCUUCCGCAAUGGACGAAAGUCUGACGGAGCAACGCCGCGUGAGUGAUGAAGGUUUCGGAUCGUAAAGCUCUGUUGUUAGGGAAGAACAAGUGCAAGAGUAACUGCUUGCACCUUGACGGUACCUAACCAGAAAGCCACGGCUAACUACGUGCCAGCAGCCGCGGUAAUACGUAGGUGGCAGCGUUGUCCGGAAUUAUUGGGCGUAAAGGGCUCGCAGGCGGUUUCUUAAGUCUGAUGUGAAAGCCCCCGGCUCAACCGGGGAGGGUCAUUGGAAACUGGGAAACUUGAGUGCAGAAGAGGAGAGUGGAAUUCCACGUGUAGCGGUGAAAUGCGUAGAGAUGUGGAGGAACACCAGUGGCGAAGGCGACUCUCUGGUCUGUAACUGACGCUGAGGAGCGAAAGCGUGGGGAGCGAACAGGAUUAGAUACCCUGGUAGUCCACGCCGUAAACGAUGAGUGCUAAGUGUUAGGGGGUUUCCGCCCCUUAGUGCUGCAGCUAACGCAUUAAGCACUCCGCCUGGGGAGUACGGUCGCAAGACUGAAACUCAAAGGAAUUGACGGGGGCCCGCACAAGCGGUGGAGCAUGUGGUUUAAUUCGAAGCAACGCGAAGAACCUUACCAGGUCUUGACAUCCUCUGACAACCCUAGAGAUAGGGCUUUCCCUUCGGGGACAGAGUGAC